AGUGAACGCUGGCGGUAGGCCUAACACAUGCAAGUCGAACGGCAGCACAGGUGAGCUUGCUCCCUGGGUGGCGAGUGGCGGACGGGUGAGGAAUACAUCGGAAUCUACUCUGUCGUGGGGGAUAACGUAGGGAAACGUACGCUAAUACCGCAUACGACCUCCGGGUGAAAGCAGGGGACCUUCGGGCCUUGCGCGAUUGAACGAGCCGAUGUCGGAUGAGCGAGUUGGCGGGGUAAUGGCCCACCACGGCGACGAUCCACAGCUGGUCUGAGGGGAUGUUCAGCCACAAUGGAACGGAGACACGGUCCAGACUCCUACGAGAGGGAGCAGUGGGGAAGAUUGGACAAUGGGCGCAAGCCUGAACCAGCCAUGCCGCGUGUAUGAAGAAGGCCUUCGGGUUGUAAAGUACUUUCAGCGGGGAGGAAGGCGAUGUGGUUAAUAACCGCAUUGAUUGACGUUACCCGCAGAAGAAGCACCGGCUAACUCCGUGCCAGCAGCCGCCGUAA
rnacentral:rRNA from 1 species